CGUAACCAUUAUUUUGUUGCUUUCCAGAGUAGCUGUUUGCGCGUGUGAAUUCGUAGUUUAAUUCUAUCUGGCAAAAUGUGUGGCAUAUGAAACCGCUCAACUGUUGUUUAUGAAUCUGUCAGCAUAUACAUUUAGAUACAAAUAAUACGGAUGUUAGGACUGCAUUUCCCAUAGUGCUUUAGAUUAGUCAUAUGUAAAUACACUAGAACUGUAAUGGAGAUCUCCAGCAGUGCAGGACUGUCAUGACAUUCUGCACCUAAAAACCAGAGGACAUACAUCACCAGCAUGAUUGUUCUCCAGCACAGCCUCAUUUCUCUGCUUAAAGUCGUCUCAUGUCCUCUCCUCUCUCUGCUCACUUAUCCUUCAUGCCUGUGUGUUUUCUUUCAGUCUGUCCUUCACCUCCCUUCUCUGCUGUUGUCCUCUGCAGUUUGUCUAGCCUGUCACAUUUUCUUUCACUACUCUCCUCUUGGACUUCUGAUCCCUCAACCCUCCUUCAGCUUGUUUGCUUUUUGCACCUUCUGACACUCGGACGUCUCUUCCUUUAUGUCUCUCUAUCAAACGUUGUCUCUUUCAGUCCCUAUCGCUCUGUCUCUUUCUGUUUAUCUGUCUCUCCCUCUUUCUCCCCAUGUUUUUCUCUUCCUUUCUGCCUGCCCGUCUGUCUCUCCGUUUAUCCGUCUCUCCUUCUCCCCGUUGUUUCCGUUUCUCUCCACUGUGGUCUCAGACUUACCUCCCCUGCCUCUCCCCCUCUCGCUGUUUGUCUCUCAGUGUACGUGAGGUUUAACUCCAGCCAUGGCUUCCCGGUGGAGCUCGAGGAGGGGGCCAGUGUUGCCACGCUGAAGGAGAUGGUGGGGAGGCUGCAGGGGGUACUGCCGGAGCAGCUCAGGGUUAUCUUCGCCGGCCGUGAGCUGCGCAGCGACUCCACCCUCCAGGGCUGCGACCUCCCAGAACAGAGUACUGUGCACGUGGUGUUGCCUUCUUCCACCUCCGCCCGGCGCUCUGACCUGGUUCUGCAGCAUCGCCUCGGUCGGGCGGUGGACAGCCUCACUGGCCUGGACCUCACCGCCUCCCGUCUUACUGCCACCUCCACCGGCCUGGCCGUCGUACUGGAAACCGAGGACGAGCAGAGACCCAGGGAAGAACCUGGAAGCACAGUGCCCAGACCUCACAGCAACUUCUAUGUGUACUGCAAGAGUGUGUGCCGGUCCAUCCAGCCGGGGAAGUUACGGGUGCGCUGUGGAGCCUGCAAGCAGGGAACCCUCACCCUUAGCCGACGGCUUAGAGAUCAGGUAAGUCCACAGUGCAUACUAAUCCCAAACAGAGCAACUUACCCCACCUCCACCCCCCCCACUUUUUGUUUUUGUUUAACACUACUAAUCUGUUCUCAUUCUCCAAUGGAGGAAUUCAAUCGAGUCACACAUUUCCACAGUGACUCUGGAAAUCUCUCCCUCCGCUUGUCUGUCCAGCACGCAGCAACGUUUACCUCCGGUCUGUAUGGGACUUUUCUCUGUGUGUGGGAGUGGGCCGGCCUACCCACAGCUCAGGAUCCGGCCCAUUGUUUACUGAGAUUGAGUGACACCUCACUAAGCCCACCUGCCUGCUAUGUUGCCUCCGCUCGGCCACCGUGCUCAAAUAAUAUUUGUCUACUGUCGCCAUGCCAACAUGGUGCCGGUUUCCUGCCAGAGCUGGUGAUUACUUACCUGAAACUUGGACUGGACCCCAGUCAAUCACCACAAAUCUCCCCUUCCCAUUCCACCAGAAUAAACAUUCAGUCAGUCACAAAUGGCAAGUCUCUUUUCCCUCCCCAUAUUCAGCCCGAAGCAGAUAUCCAGGGUAACAUUCUCUCCCCUCUGACCACUGUCACGGCGCGGUCUACAUACCUGAGCAAUGACCAGCCGUAGGUACCUCUCGCACAUCUAUCUCCCCAUACACAGUCUGACAAACCCAUCUGUCCCCCCCUCCCCCCAGUGACAUCCAUCUAGGAGGGAAAUUAUUGCCCCCUGAUGUGCAUCAAUCACAAGUCACAAAUAUAUCAAAUUUGAAUCUAUCACAUUUAUUUGAUAAAGCAUUUUUUUCAGUAAAGUGCUUAAACAGACAUCCAGCCUAAAACCCCAAAGAGAAAGCAACUACAUGAUAUUGAUUCACAAUGGCUAGGAAAAACUACCUAGUAGGGUUAGAAAACUCUGAGGGUUGACUGGUCCUCUUCUGGCUGUGCCUGGUGAACAUUAUGAUAGUCCAUGAUCUGUGAAAGCCUGGUCUAAUAUUUGUGCAUGUUCAGAUGACCAGAUAUCCACAACCAGAUGAACAAGGAAAGGGAUGACCAGCUGUGCUGUGGGCAGUGACAGAAUGGGUCGACUGGCUGGAACUAGAUCUGCACCGCAGCAAGGUGGACAAGAACAGGGACAACUAGGAUUUGUCAGGCCAGUGAGUGCAAGAAACUGGAAAAUAACCAUGUCUCCUCUACAAGUGAGCUGGGUCGCCAUGGCUCCUCUACGAGUGAGCUGGGUCACCAUGGCUCCUCUACGAGUGAGCUGUGUCGCCAUGGCUCCUCUACGAGUGAGCUGGGUCGCCAUGGCUCCUCUACGAGUGAGCUGGGUCGCCAUGGCUCCUCUACGAGUGAGCUGGGUCGCCAUGGCUCCUCUACGAGUGAGCUGGGUCGCCAUGGCUCCUCUACGAGUGAGCUGGGUCGCCAUGGCUCCUCUACGAGUGAGCUGGGUCGCCAUGGCUCCUCUACGAGUGAGCUGGGUCGCCAUGGCUCCUCUACGAGUGAGAUGGAUUUUUGGGCUGCUUUUCUAGUGAGCUGGAUCACUUUAGCUGCUCUACGAGUCAUAUUGAUCACUUUGGGUGCUCUACUAGUGUACAGCGGGGUCCUACUUCUGACAACCAAUCACAUAGAUCGGCCCUUGCUGUAAGAUUAGCACAGCUGCUGCUGAGACAAACCCCAGUUUGUUAAACAAUAAUCUAAUUAAAGCUUUGCGGGAGAUGUCGAAUAUACUUCCAAAAUAAAGAGGGGGAGGAAGAGAGACAGAGGAGGAACUAAAGGCUAAGUGUUUCUGAAUUAUUCAUAACUGCUUUUCUCAUUAUUCAUUUAUAUUCUGGGGGAGGUUUGUGUGUCUUUUUUCUGUGUGUUUGUGGGUGUGCGCGUGCACGUCUUGUUGUGUGAGUGACCUUUCUUGGCUGUCUCUGAGCAGGUGUGUGUGUGUGUGUGUGUGAUCUCGAUGCCCCGCCGCCUAGCCACCCAGGAUACCCUCCCUCCCCUUCUCCCUCACCCAACAGGGGAGUAAUGAUUUUCUUAACCUUUUCAGAGGCUUAUUAAGGCCGCUGUCAGAAUGUUUAAAUGCUUAUGCUAAUGAGUGGUGGAACAGGCUUGAAUGACUGGGAUUCACCGAGUGGCCAGUGUCUGACUCCACACCAAGACAACACACAAUCACAGUGUGGCAACAAACUGCUGAAGCAUCUGGCUCAGUGGCUAAAUCAUUGGAGCUUGGAAGGCAAUUGUUUUGGGUUAGAUUCCAAUGGGAAACUAAAAGUGUCUAGAAAAUGGUCCAUCUUGUUGGGACGAUGUCCUUCUGCCCGAGCGUAUCCACGGCGUCUGUCAGUCAGAGGCGUGUCUUGGCAGAGUA